CUUUAUUGCUUGAUUAACACCCGAGUCUGCACAAAGGUGAUCAACAUUUGGUACAGGAGUUGUACCAGAGAUUUUCCUAACAACUCCGUGGAUCUGUGAUAUGCUUCAAUUGGAGGGGAAGAGAUGGAAUGAGCAGGUGGUGACUCGGCUUUUUGAUGAUCAAUUAGCUAAGAGAAUUCUAUCUCAAGUGAUUCCCUUACUUCAGGGUC
rnacentral:lncRNA from 1 species